rnacentral:rRNA from 1 species
UACAGAGGGUGCGAGCGUUGUCCGGAAUCACUGGGCGUAAAGGGCGCGUAGGCGGCUCGGUCAGCGUGCGGUGAAAGCCCGGGGCUCAACCCCGGGUCGGCCGUGCGAACUGCUGGGCUGGAGCACUGUAGAGGCAGGUGGAAUUCCGGGUGUAGCGGUGGAAUGCGUAGAGAUCCGGAAGAACACCAGCGGCGAAGGCGGCGCUCUGGGCCGGUACUGACGCUGAGGAGCGAAAGCGUGGGGAGCAAACAGG